CAACACUGUGUGUCCUAAUUUUUUUUUCUCUUUGAAGUCAUCCGGAACAAUGUAUGAUGAAAAAAGGACUCAAGUCCUCAAGGGGAGUAACUCAACUUGCAUCACCACAUCUGUCACAUAAAACUCUGAGUGACGUCAUUGACCUCCACUAUGGAGACGAGCUCAAAGGCAACGCUUACAUUCAUCAAUUGGUUCUGAUCCAUCAGAGGUCGAAGCUGAGUGUUGUAGCUUCCACUCUCCAGUUUGCGG